AGAAGACUCAGCAUCUUCUUCAUUCCACACAAACACCAUCAAUAGAUUCCACUUCCUAUUCCCAUUCCUCAAUACACAAAAUAAUUGAAUUUAGAAGAUACCUUCAAUGAUGACCGAAAAUAAUCUUUGGGCUGUGGUGACCAUGUGGGAGGUAACGGCCUGCAGGGAGAUGAUGCUUUCUGCUAUUAUUUCAAGGGUGGUCCUUUCCUGUAAGUUAUGCUCCAAUGUGGCCUGGCCUGUCCCAGUGCCUCUGAGAGCACUUACAAGUCUUUCUCAUUCUAGGAUUCAUUUAGCAGACCUGAUUGUUUUGUUUUGUAUAGAUGUUUUUGUUUCAUUGUAUUUGUUUCUAUACUAAACUGUGUCCACUAGUUUUGACUUUAUUGUAGUAAAGGUUAUAUUUUGAAGUCUAUUGGCCUUACUCUUUAGUUUAGAACCCAAGAUAGAGCAGACAACUGUUUUGUAUUGGGUCUCCCAAAAACCUAAUCCCUUUUGCUGGUUCUUUCCAUAGUUCAGCCUGCAUCCCAUUCACUCAUUUGUACCGAGAAAUGCACUGACACCUGUGUGCUUUCUUUGAUCCAUUCACAACUAGCCCAUUCACUCUGCUGGAGACACAGCUAUUUCAUUUGAUAGUGAUAUUCUUCUGGACACUGUCCACUGUGAGUGUUAAAUUAUCUUCUCUUGCAAUUCUUUUUCCCUCUGACA
rnacentral:lncRNA from 1 species